UUUGUUGAGUUUGCUUAAAUGUAUUAACUAAAUGUCAAGAUGAGGUAGAAGAUCAUUUGCUUUUGAAAGAUAUAUUAAAAAGUUACUCCAAGUGGAUUUAAUAUAGUGAGCAAUUUGAUUUCAUGAUGCCAAAUUUUGGAAAUCAAGCAAUUGGGAGUACUAAUUCCUAUUAAAGAACAAUUGGGAGUACUUAUUAAUGGU
rnacentral:lncRNA from 1 species